rnacentral:ncRNA from 1 species
CAGAUAGAGGUUGCGGGACCGAUCAGUAACUGAUCCGAUGCGUUGCAGAGCAGAUGAGGAUGAGCGAAAGGCUGGACCGCCGAAGGGGAUACGAACUGCAGGAGUAUCUGCCUGGGGAUACGGAGAAUAUCCGGAUCACUGUCAUCUUAACGAAGAUGGGGCGCUAUCAU